AUUUUAAUAUUUUUUAAUACUUAAAAACCAUUUUAAUGUUGCCUUCAUAUUCCCUUCACAGUUCCUAAAAAUCAAAAAAGCAGACAUUCUCUGCAUCUUGUUUAAUUCUCUUAUCAUCUAUUUAAACAGCUAGGAAGUAUGUCAGAAAGAGGCAUAAGUGUUUUGUUUGUUCAGCAUUUGUGUUUUUCAGCUGCUUAUGUGUCAUUCUGUAGAUUAUUUUUGAAUGUAGUCUCUCCUGUUAGUAUAAAUGUUCUAACAUUAGAUCAACCUUUGGGAUUCCACAACAUUCAAAAAAGAAAAACAAAAAAACAUAACAGUGUAACCAUAUAAAAGCUUUCUUCAUGCAAGUUGAUGGAAGAAUGAAUGUGAAAUGAUACAUCUAGAAAGGCAAGUAAAGUAUUUUUUUAAUGAUCUUGUUUUUUUGUUUUUGACACAGUAAUCACAAAAGUUCCUCCAUUACAGGGAUUGUUAUUCCUGUAAACAGUGCAGAGAUGUUUAAAAUCAUAUCUUCCUGCUCAAACACAGCUGACGUGAGAACAUCUGAGGAGAAAGUGUGUGGGAUUGGCAUCAGUUAGAGAGAAUUAAUAAUUUUCUGAUUACAAAAGACGGACUCCUGCAUCAGGCAUUUGAUCUUUAACGUUUCAUCAUGAGCUUUUCUCUGGUUUUACACCAUCUUCUGGUGUUCGCAUCAGUCCUGGCUCUGCUCAGGGCGCAAACAACAACAGG